rnacentral:rRNA from 1 species
AAACAUGUCUUUUUGAGUUGAAUUUAAAGUCUGGCCUGCCCACUGAAUAAUUUUAAAUGGCCGCAGUAUUUUGACUGUGCAAAGGUAGCAUAAUCAUUAGUCUUUUAAUUGAAGGCUGGUAUGAAUGGUUGGACGAAGUAUAAUCUGUUUCAUAUGAAUUUAUAAUAGAAUUUUAUUUUUUAGUAAAAAAGCUAAAAUUUUAUUGAAAGACGAGAAGACCCUAUAAAUCUUUAUAUUUAAUUUUAUUUUAAUUUUUUAGAUUUGUUUUAUUUUUAUAAUAUUAAAUAUUUUGUUGGGGUGAUGUUAAAAUUUAAUGAACUUUUAAUUAUUUAAGAACAUUAAUUUAUGAAUUGUUGAUCCAGUAUUUAUUGAUUAUAAGAUUAAGUUACUUUAGGGAUAACAGCGUAAUUUUUUUUGAGAGUUCAUAUCGACAGAAAAGUUUGCGACCUCGAUGUUGGAUUAAGGUAUAAUUUUGGGUGUAGCUGUUCAAAUAUUAAGUCUGUUCGACUUUUAAAUCCUUACAUGAUC